rnacentral:miRNA from 1 species
AACAUCUUCUUACCAAAAAGUGCAAAGGUAAGGAGAUACGUUCUGCGCAUGCGCUGCGCUAUCUCCUUAAAUACGCAUAAUUUGUUAAAAGGAUAUUAAGCAAAGUUGUAGCCCUCAUCAUGACGAACAACUUUUGUUAACAUCUUCUUACCAAAAAGUGCAAAGCUAGGGAGAUACGUUCUGCGCAUGCGCAGCCCUAUCUCCUUAAAUACGCAUAAUUUGUUAAAAGGAUAUU